UGGGGAAUCUUCCGCAAUGGGCGAAAGCCUGACGGAGCAACGCCGCGUGAGUGAAGACGGCCUUCGGGUUGUAAAGCUCUGUUAUAUGGGACGAACGGGCGUAUGGUCAAUACCCAUACGCCGUGACGGCACCGUAAGAGAAAGCCACGGCUAACUACGUGCCAGCAGCCGCGGUAAUACGUAGGUGGCAAGCGUUGUCCGGAAUCAUUGGGCGUAAAGGGCGCGCAGGCGGUUCGGUAAGUCGGUCUUAAAAGUGCGGGGCUUAACCCCGUGAUGGGAUUGAAACUGCCGGACUGGAGUGUCGGAGAGGAAAGCAGAAUUCCUAGUGUAGCGGUGAAAUGCGUAGAUAUUAGGAGGAAUACCAGUGGCGAAAGCGGCUUUCUGGACGACAACUGACGCUGAGGCGCGAAAGCCAGGGGAGCAAACGGGAUUAGAUACCCCGGUAGUCCUGGCCGUAAACGAUGGAUACUAGGUGUAGGAGGUAUCGACCCCUUCUGUGCCGGAGUUAACGCAAUAAGUAUCCCGCCUGGGGAGUACGGCCGCAAGGUUGAAAC
rnacentral:rRNA from 1 species